rnacentral:rRNA from 1 species
GGAUGCGAUCAUACCAGCACUAAAGCACCGGAUCCCAUUAGAACUUCAAAGUUAAGCGUGCUUGGGUGAGAGUAGUACUAGGAUGGGUGACCUCCUGGGAAGUCCUCGUGUUGCAUUCC